rnacentral:rRNA from 1 species
CUUCCCGUAGGGUGAACCUGCGGAAGGAUCAUUACUAAGCGGGAUCAGGCUCCGGCCCGAUCCUCCCACCCUUUGUGUACCCACCUCUGUUGCUUUGGCGGGCCGCGGUCCUCCGCGGCCGCCCUCCGUCCGGGGGGUGGCCAGCGCCCGCCAGAGGACCAUCGAACUCCGGUCAGUGAACGUUGCCGUCUGAAAAACAAUCAAUAAACUAAAACUUUCAACAACGGAUCUCUUGGUUCUGGCAUCGAUGAAGAACGCAGCGAAAUGCGAUAAGUAAUGUGAAUUGCAGAAUUCAGUGAAUCAUCGAAUCUUUGAACGCACAUUGCGCCCCUCGGUAUUCCGAGGGGCAUGCCUGUUCGAGCGUCAUUACAACCCUCAAGCUCUGCUUGGUGUUGGGCACCGCCCUUCCGCGGGCGCGCCUCAAAGACCUCGGCGGUGGCGUCUUGCCUCGAGCGUAGUAGAAAACACCUCGCUUUGGAGCGCACGGCGCCGCCCGCCGGACGAACCUUUUGAACUUUCUCAAGGUUGACCUCGGAUCAGGUAGGGAUACCCGCUGAACUUAAGCAUAUCAAAAGGCCGGAGGAA